rnacentral:lncRNA from 1 species
GAGCAAAACAUUUUCAAAACUGUUAAUUGUGGGAGUGUUUUGUAAAGCAAUUCUUUAAACAUGGCUCUUGUUGGGAAGCUUCAGAGUGAAGUAGAAAUAAGCAUACCUCCCCAUAUAUUUUACAAACUCUUUAAAGAACAAAUUGCUAACAUUACAAAUAUUUCUCCAAAGUUAAUCCAAAAAGUUGAACAUCAUGAUGGAGACUGGAGCAAACAUGGUCACGGUUCCAUCAAAGUUUGGAAUUACACUAUCGGUAUGUAAAAUGAUCUCAUGACCACGAUCACUUAAUACCACUUUUCUCUUUUCUGUCUUUGUUUAUUUCCAUGAAUAAUUCAUUUUUACCAUCUCUAAAUUGUUAUUAUUUCCUCUUUCUGUUGUUUUAUGAUUUGUAAGAUGGUAAAGCCGAAGUUUUGAAAGAACGCGUGGAAUUCGAUGACAAAAAUCUUGUGGUAAGAAUGGUUGGAUUGGAAGGAGAUGUGUUUAAGCAUUACAAAACCUUCAUUGCAACAUAUCAAGUUGUCCCAAAAGGACUGGGUCGUAGCGUGAUAAUUUUUACCUUGGAAUAUGAGAAACUUAAUGAUGGUUCUCCUUACCCUGACAAGUAUCAUGAGGCUAUGGAUAACCUUGCUAAGGACAUUGAAGCUCACCUUUUAAAAGAUACGGUUCAACUUGUUUCCGCACGUUUGCCAUAAUUAAUAUGAUAUGAAUAAGCAUGUUGUGUUAGGGUUGAUUCUAUAAGAUGUUGUGAGGAUUUUGUAACACUAAAUAAUGGUUAUCCUCGUGUAAAAUAAAUGAAACUCAAACAUAAUUUUGUUUUAAAUAAUAUGUACUAUGCUAUCUUUUGAUAUAUAUAAUGUAUGGUUUCUCGGCUAUUUUCUUUGUCACUUGCUGAACUCUUACAUAGUUUUCACUUUCAAGUCUUAUUUCUAUCACUUUUAAGUGCGGGAGAAGAUGAUAAUAUUAUUUCUUUUGGGAAAGGGAAAGUUAAAAGUUGAUUUGAUGGCUUCAAUUUAAUGGAUUUUAAUAUCUAUAUAACACAGGGAUAGGGAGAAAUAAAAGUAAUUAAAGCCAAAAUGGAGUUCUUUAGAUUCUUACUAAAUUAUGAUAGUUUUUUUUUGGGUGUUACUGAUUUAUGACUAAAAAUAACAACAAAAAACAUUGAAAGUUUUUAUUUUUUUUACAUUUUUUCAACAAUUUGAGAAUAGAAUUAAUAGGAGUGAAAAUUCUUUAAAGUCAAUGGAUUGAAAGAAAAAAAAAAACGUUUUUGAUAGAAGCAAACAAAAGUUUUAGGUUUUCUUUUGGACUUUUAUGACUUUUUUUUAGGUCAUCAAUGCAAUCAAUGUAUGAGUGUUUUCUAUGACAUCAAUGUAUAAUCUACAAAAUUAAAUCUUAUGUGAUUUCUAAUUAAGAUUUUAAAAAGUUCUUAAGUAUUUUCUAAACCCUUUUAAAGUCAUCUUAAAAACUUCCUUUUAAACAUGACUCUUUUUUGUGUGUUCUUUAACAACUAAAAUUAAGCAAUGCAUUAUAUUUAAAAGAGGUUUCUUAAUCAAUUUUCUUUAUAAGAAAUUGGUUUUAAAGACCUUUGUCUUUAAAAUAGUUGUAAGAUGACAUGGAAUCUAUAAAAUUUAGGAGUCUAUUUUCUACAUUUAUAUAGGAGAGAGAUCAUAUGGAGAGUUUUGGUGGAAUUUAUAUCCUAAAACUCAUAUUUUGUAGUUUAAAAUCAUAUUACAUUUAACGAAGUUGCUGUUGAGGAAUUAUCAGUGAAAUUGAAUAUUAUAUUCUUGAAUCCAAUAAACUAAGGUUUCGAGACUAUCUUAAAUAUAAACUUGAAUUUUAUGUAGAGAUAUAAACAUAUGGACCAAGUUUGAGUAUAUAGCCUAAACGGUCUAUAGUAUAUGAAUAAGUUUGGGUGUUUACCAUAAGACUGGAACCAUGAAAUAAUCAUUUUACGUUCUAACAUUGUUUACUAUAUAAAACUGAUUAUUUCAAUUAUUGAUGACCUACCUAACUUAAUCUUAAUCAUUAGCUAACUAUGAACUCAUGUUCACACGAGAUUAUCCUUAGAUCUACCUAGGUCAGAGCAACUGGUUUUGAAUAAGGGUUUGUAGGGAUGUUGAUGGUGAAGUGGUAUUCAUCAAAGUAGUCCCCACGUUUAGUAAGUUAAAUCUUCAGGCGUUAAGAAUUAGAUGCUAAUAUGGUUAUUGCGUUGUUUAACACGUAGUGAGGUGUUAAGACAUUACUAAAAAUAAGAAAGUUUUUAUUGUAUGUAAUUGUAUUUCCCAAAAGAUAUUUCUAAAUUAUGUCAAUCACUAAGCUAUUGACAUACAUUUUAAGUAUUCCCUCUCCAAAUUAAGUGAAGAAGUGCGAUCAGAAGAGGCGAGAGGAGGUCAGUACUGCUAAGUACUUGAUAUGUCACGUAGUCGUAAUUAGCUCAAGUUUUGUGAUCCUUUAAGUUGUAAGUUGUACGCUGGCAUUGUAACAAAUUAUUAAUAAAAUAAUUACUAAUUUUUCAAAUCACUUGAUGUCCUAGCAUAUAGUAGAAGCUUUUACCAGCAUGAACACAUACCACUCAAUGCGUUCACCCAUCGUUCUACCAAGUAGACAACUCGACACAUGAAAGUCUGUACUUUUGUGUGUACAUAAUAGCUAGAUUUUUAUCAAGAAUAAGGCUAAUUGGUUUUGUAUACAUACAAGCAUCACAACAAUACAACUUCACAAACAUAGACAUACUUCAAACUGGUCAUAUUUUUUCAUAUGUAUAGAUGAGAUUAGAGCAUGAGUAUUUUUAACAACAUGAAAAUAUAACAAUAUAACUUUGGUGGUAAAAACAUUUUUCAAAAGCUUGCUUUUUUUUUUUAAAUUUCUCUCUUACUCAGCUAAGUCUUUCUUUUUCCCUUUCUCUCUUCUUCUUAUCGUCUAGCUUUUCUUCCCUCUUGUCGCUUGGUCCUACAACUAAGCUUCACAUUUUACUCCUCUAAUAGUGCUUCCUCUUAUCCAAACACUUGAAUUAAUCAUUAUUGAAACCUAUUUAACUUCUCUCAAAACAGGUUAGCUGACUAAUCAUUUAAGUUUAACACUUAACCAACUCCUCCUUGCCUCACCUAGCCCAUCAUUUGAUAAUUGGUUAAGUGCACAUUGUCAUCUUCCCUUUUCGCGUAAUCUAGCUUAUUAUACCAUGAUGCCUUUCUUCAUUACACGUUGUCUAAUUCUUUUGCCUUUUGCCUUUUUCUUCUCGUUGUCUCGAAAUGCCUACUCAAUGUUAAAUCUAUUUACUUAAAAAAUUAAUUUACAAGAAACCCUUCUAUUAGGACGCUGGUUUCACAUCCUUUCUCAAGGUUAACUAAAAAACAACCCUUGAUUCUUAGCUUUUCUUUCUAAUCCUACAAUAGAUUUGGGGUUUACACUUUGGUAGCCAACAAAAACAGUGGGCACAUAUAUAGACACCUAUAGACCAAUUGGAUGCAUGCCAUCCUUUCCUCAAGUAGGUUGGAUGCAUCCCUCAUUCAGUUGGAGACAUAGUUUAACUUCUUAACACCUACUCAGCUUGUUAGACAGAUUGCAAAUACCAUUUAGGCACAUAGUUUUUCAAUGAUGGACCUCCUCAUUUUUGCCACGAUCCUAGGUUCUCAUUCGCACACCUCCAUAUUUCAAAGUUCCUUUAAGAGAUUCCCCCAAUUAAUUGAUAAAAUGGGCUCCUCUUGUUGGUAUUUAUAGGCUUUUCUAAGUCAUCCUUAUCAUCCUCAUCUAAUCUUUGUUUGACACUACCUACCAAAAAUUUGUCCAAGUGUUAGUCCCAUGAGUAUUUUCAUCUCAAAGUUCGUCACUUCACCUACAUGUAAAAACUCAUCUUCUAAGUGUUAUCUUAUCCUCUCGCCAUCUCCUACUUCCAACUCCAACCCUCGUGAUUCCAACUUCCAACUUGAACCAAUUAGGUGCUUGAUCUCUUUCAAAUACUUAACUAUAGUAUUUUCCUUUAUUUCAUAGUUUUGGCUUCUUCAACGCAUAGUUUAUUGAUGAAUUGAUCAUCGUGUAGUUAAUUAUGGCACCAUGUACUUGAUUAUCUCAAUACCACAUAGCUGACUAUCUCACCUUAUACUGAUUAUCAUACCACGUAGUUUGACAACUACUCACAAUGUGGUUUGUUCUAGUUCACAACAUAGUUUAACAACUAUUUACCAUGUAGUUGGUCCUAAUUCAACAUAUAAUUUGUCCAAACUCACCACAUCGUUGGUCCCAACUUGUCACUAUUUUUAUAGUUAUUCACUAUGUAUUCUGUCCCAAGUCACUACGUAGUUUUUCAGUAGUUUUAAACAAGCUAAAAUAUCACAUGCAUAGAAUAAGUGAGCAAUGACAAGAUAAAGUUUAUUAAAAACUAAACUUUAAUAUUACUUAUUAUCCUUAAAGUGAUCAAGGAGAGUAUUGGAAGUAUAACAUAGAAGAAUUAAUAAAUAAGGUGAGAGAAGUUCUAAUAGCACAAAAAAUGUUAUGUCUAGCACCAAAAAUCUAUGAUUUUACGUUCUUAUAUGUGUAUCUUAUAAGUUUCGAGCAAACUAUGGGUAGAAUUCGGUAUUUAUGUCAAUUUGAGGUUUAAUUUGGUGAAAAUAUAGUUAAGAGGCAUCAUCAGAGGUGAAAUGUGAAAAAACUGGCAACAUUUGGCCUCUGCCUUGUAGUGUCGCAACACCUUAUAACACAUUGCGGGGUACAAUAAGGCAAUAACUUUACUGCUCAAAUUUUUCACUGAGUGUGAUACUGCCUUAGAGCGCUAUGAUGCUACGAACCAGAUGCAUAUAAUGUUUCACUUUAGUGUCAUGGCGCUACCCUUAGUGCUACUUCAUAUUUUAAGUACCGUGUUUCGCCAUCUUGGGCCAUCUUAUAUGCGUAUAAUGUUUUACUUUAGGAAACCUUGUAGGCAAUCAACAUAUCCAUAAAUUUCAACAACAUAAAAGAUUAAGGUCGCCUCUUUUAUCUGACCUUAAACUUGUUGCCUAGCUUAGAAACACCUAGGUGAUCCACGAAAGAAUUCAAAUGCAACGUAUCAUAAAUCAAGCAAUAUACCCUUUCUAAAGACAUCAAAAGUUAUAACUAAUGUGCACAAACGAUCUCUAAUUCUUUGGCAUCAUGAAAAUAUUGAAACAUUUUUUUUUUAUCAUUGACACUAGUACUACUAAUCCUACUUGUUCUAGUUCUCAAAUCUUGCAUAAUUGAGGCCAGACAGUUAGGGUUUAUCUUGGUUUCUUAGUGUAGGUUUCUCUUAUGUUAUUUUUAUUUUUGUUUAAUAUAAUUUCAUCCUAUCACUUUUGGUCUUAGGAAAAUUGAGAGAAUUAUUUUGUUUUGGAGCCAGCAUCCAUCCAUCUUAUGCCACAUUUUUCAGGUAAGUUUUUUGUUUUCCUUUUCAAUUUGACUCUUGUUUUCAUGUAAUUAUCACUUAAGGAUAAUGUUAGAAUUUAAGUUGGAAGCACAGUAUGUCUGUGUUUUGGAUAGAGCAUAUGAGCUUGGGGCUAUUGUGUGUACUUCUUUGUUGCCUUGUGCCUUUCAUUGACUUAUCGAUGACAUGCUCUCAAAGUCAUGCAGUUGUGAGGCAAUAUAUGAAUAAAACGAUUAUGAUUUUAAGCAUAUUUUAAUUUUUUUUCUUCCAUAUCUUAUGCACACUUUAGUCUUUCAGUUAACUAUCGUAGGUUUUGCAUGCUUAGAGUAGCUUUAUCGAGUCCAUAUGUUUGUUGUCACGUUGAAAGGCCUUUCUUUAGUGGUAGUUGCAUUUCCAUCUUACUAUUGCCAAUAUGGGGAAGGAAAAUUGAAGGUUCUUUAAAUUUAUUCUAGGUUUUUUUUUUAAGUAGAAGGGUUUUUGACUCAUUUAUACGUGAGUGGAUAUGAAAAAAUAACUUUAAAUGUGCAUCAAUUGAUUGCUUUUUCCAUUUUAUGCUUAGUUCUUGUUAAUUGUUAAGGCAUGAGAAUGUAACUUGGCAACUUAGCAAACAAUUGUGUGUAACUGUAUGCUUUAUUCUACUUUGCUCGGGUUGAUCAAGGACUAAGUUGGGGAUUUUAGGUAGCACAAGAAAACGUGUUAUCAAAUCUCGCUUAAUUCAAGAUCAUUUUAUGGUUUUAUGUUUCUUUUUUACUAUUUUGUAGGCAUCAAACAAAUCAAGGGUAUCAUUCGAUGUUGAUGUCAAAUUUGAGCUGAAUUAGGUGAAUACGAAGUCAGUAUGCAUCAACUUAGGACAAGGAGUGAAGAAAAUAACAAAAUAGGUAGGCCUUGCAAUGUUGCAGUACUUAUGGAGCAAUGCACGAUGUUGUAAGAAGGGUUAUUGUUAGAAAUAAUAGGCUAGGUCAUGAGUGAAAGCCCAUCGGUAGUUAAUAUUUACUUUUUCCUAAUUUUUAUUCUUUUAAUUAGGUUCAUGGUUUUUCUCCUGAUACUUAGUUUUCCGAGUAAAUUUUGGUGUUCUUUGUCUAUACUUUUAAUAUGGUAUCAGAGUGAAAUAUUGAACAAACCCUGGAUAACACAACUAGUGAUAGAAAUCAAAUAGAGAAGAAAGUCAGUUUUAGUGUUGUCGUUGUGACUAUUGUCGAUGCUCGGAUCAAUUGCUGCCAUGGAUGAAUGGUUCCACCGCCUUUAGAAAAUACUAACCAAUGUAAUUCUGUCAAUUCUGUUGUCGUUUGCAUCUCUCAUGCGCCACCACUUGAGCUACACGCGUCAGUAUCCAUCCUCCUAAGGCAACACUAAUCAUUUCUUUUGUGCAACCCUUUUCUUCUUUUGCGACCUAUAUUACGCUCCAUGUCCCGAUACAUGUAUUGCCACCUAAUUUUGACUGGUUGCCACUGCUUGUACCAUCAAAUCUAUAUGUCCUCCCAGCCAUUGACCUGAGUUAUCAUUUCGAUGUUAGAAAUCCUCACAUUCACUCAACAUUAAAGGUUGGUGAAUCUUCAGCACAUUCCAACUGUAAUGUGCAAACAUUCUCUUCUUCUUUGAGAAUAGUUGCUUGUUCCUGCGACGUUCAUUCAUAGAUGUGUCAUUUUAAUCUCUAAGUGUGCGACUUAAUAGACAACUAAAAUAAGAUGAUGCGAUAAAAAGGGCAUGUUUUAUCUAUGGAUUGCUGAUUUCCUAGUGAUAUGCAUGUAAUACAAGUUUUCCUUUCUAUCACCCAAGUGUAAGCAAAGAGAGGUUUCCUGGUAAGUCUAAGGUCAAACUUAGUGAAUUAGUAUUCCAAUUGAAUCUAUUGUGUGGCUAGUCCUAUGUUGUAUACUCUUUAAAAGAGGAAGUGUACAUGAGUCUGCCUCUAGGAUUUAAAGCUCAAUUUAAUAAACAGGUUUGCAAACAUCAAAAUUCAUUAUAUGGGUUGAAAUAGUCAUUAAUAGCAUGAUUUAACAUAUUUAACAUUUGCAUCAAGUCAGAGAGGUACAAUUAAGGGCACUCUAAUCCCACCUUGUUCACCAAAGUCUCCAAGGUAGGGAAAGUUACAGUAUUGAUUGUUUAUGUGGAUGACAUUGUGCUAUCUAGAGAUGAUAUUGAUGAGAUCAUUCAACUAAACAAGAAAGUAAGGUUUGAAUUAAAGUUAAGCACUUCGGAAAUCUGAGUAGUUUCUUGGGAUAGAGAUUACUAGAUCCAGAGAAGGCAUCUUAGUGUCCCAAAUACAGUACACCCUUGAUUUAUUAGUUGAGAAAUGUAUGCUUGGAUGUUGUCUUGCUAAUACACUCGUUGAGUUCAAUGCGAAACUAAAAAAUUCAAAUGAAAGGGUUUCUGCUGAUAAAGAAAAAUAUCAAUGCUUGGUGGAAAAGCUGAUUUACUUAUCUCACACUAAACCUGACAUCUCUUAUGCUACAAGCACCAUUAGUCACUUCAUGCAAGCACCUUAUGAGGACCACAUGGAAGCCAUUAAUAGGAUUAUGAGGUAUUUAUAAGAAGCUCCUGGUAAAGGUCUACGAUUCAAGAAGGUUGACAAAAGAUGUGUUGAAGUUUAUACUGAUUUCGACUGGGCUAGAUUUAUUGUUGAUAGAGAGUCUACCUCACGAGACUGUACCUUUUCGUAGGGCAAUCUUGUUACUUGGAGAAGUAAGAAGCAACAAGUAGUGGCUAGAAGCAGCGUUGAAGCCGAAUAUAGGGCUAGAUGUUUGGAGAUCUAUGAGGAGAGAUCUGGCUCUAUAAGAUGUUGUCUGAUCUUUAUCAAGACUAUGAGGUAUCGAUGAAGCUAUUCUAUGAUAACAAGGCAGCCAUUAGCAUUGCUAAUUACCUUAUCGAACAUGACAGGACUAAACAUGUGGAGAUUGACACACACUUUAUCAAAUACAAGGUUGAUAAUUGUAGCAUCUGCAUUCCAUACAUAUAAAAUUUUAAUGAUAUCCUCGAGCCAACAAAUUUUUGAUACCCUCACAAAGGGACUCGUCUUACAGAAUUUUGAUUUGUGUGUUAGUAUGUUAGGUCUUUAUGACAUUUACGUCCAAAGUUGUGGGGGAGUGUUAGAAAUAAUAAGCUUAGGUCAUGUUGAAAGCUCAUCAUUUCUAACACUCUCCUCAAGUCAAAUCACCGUGAAAAUCCAACAAAACUUGUGAUGGAAAUCAAACACAAAUAGGAAUGCUCGGUGUUGUCUAGAAAACACAACUAGUGAUGGAAAUCAAAUAGAGAAGAUAGUUGUUUGUAAUUUUAGCGUGACAAUCGAUGCUCGCAUCAUUGCUGCAAUGGACGAAUCGUGUCGCCCUGCCUUCAGAUAAAUUCGACCAAUGUAAUUUCGUUGAUUCUAUUGCCCACGUGACAUUGCGGGAGCUAUACGCGUUGGUCCAUCCUCCUCAGACAACAUCAACCAUCCUUUCUGUGCAACCCUCUUCUUCAUAUGUGGCCUAUAUUGCUCCUUACACUCUGAUUCAUGCACUGCCACCUAAUCUUGGCCAACCACCACCACUUCUACAAUCAAAUUUGUAUCCCCUACUACCCACUAACAUUAGUUAUCAUCUCGAUGUUAGGAAUCCACAAAUUCAAACAUUUAAGAUUGGUGAAUCUUCGACAAAUUCCAAACCUAACGUGCAAGCUUCCUCUUCUUUUUUAAGAAUAGCUACUUGUUCAUGCAACGUUCAUUUGUAGAUGUGUCAUGUUAAUCUCUAAGUGAGCUACUUAAUAUGUGACUAGAAUAGGAUGAUGCGAUAAAAGGUGCAUGUCCUAUCUAAGCAUCGCUGAUUUCCUAGUGAUAUGCAUAUAAUACAAUUUUUUCUCUCUAUCACUCAAGUGUAAGCAAAGAGAAGUUUCUUGGUAAGUUCAAGGUCGAACUUAGGUAAUUAGAUUUCCAAUUGAAUCUAUCGUGUUGCUAGUCGUAUGUGAUAUAAUCUCUACAGUAAUUGUGCAUUGUUUGUUUAUCCAAAUUAUCUACACUAAGGUGCAACUAACAAUGCAAGAGGAUCACGACAAUGGAGUGCGAUGAAGUACGAACUCACAUUGUAGGAAUGGGAAGAAAUAAUAUUUAAUUAACUAAUCACGAUCUAUUGUGUAUUAAUAUUUCGAGGCGAUACAAAACAUGUAUUAACUUCAAAAUUAAGGAAAGUAUUUUCUCGGCACCUUCGCGAUACAUGCUCGCCUUUUGAGAUCCAAAUACUUGAAGUUAAGCUAUGAUUUGUAUCUAAAUUAGUUUGUAUGCAUCGUAGGUAAGUUAUCUUAAUUUAAGACAAGCAUCUUUUUGGCUCUUUCGCUACACACUUUAAUAUUAGUGCAACUUAUUCGAAGGAUGAAUUCAACGAUGAGAUUGUAUUGCUAAAAUCUCUUUGCCAUUUGUUUAGUUUAAUAGGAUAAAAGUCCUAGGCAGCGAAAAAUUUUACUGAACCAUUUUUCAAUUUAAUUUGAAAAUCCCAAAAUAUCAAUACAUUGAUAAAAUAAUACAGAAACUAAUUUUCUUAUUAUAACUUUAAAGCUAAGCAUGCUUUCUAAUUAUAGAGUAGAGAAAGAAAAACUUACAUAGUUUGACGCCUCUAAAUCUACCAAAAACUCUAAAUUGGGACACCACUCAUAGGAGACCUUCCUAUCCUUUGGGAUGAGAUUGGUUUAUGGGAACCAAUUGGGAUGGAAAAAGUUUUAGAUGCUUGUUUUAACCCAUAAAUGGAUCGAUUCACUUGCAAACGUUUUGCUCCUAACAUUGGGUUUGAACCCCUCUAGGUGAGACAUAAAGAUACUCUUUUCCAGAUUGUCAUUUAGAAAAGUAGUAUAGACAUCUAUUUGUCAUAUUUCAUAAUCAUAAAAAGUGGCUAUGGACACUUUAACAUAGCCUUCCUUUUGGGUCUACCAUUCAUUUUGGGUAUACCCUUUUGCUAUAGGUCUAUACCUUUCUCUUAUAUAUCCAUUUGCACCCUAUAGGUUUCACCCCUUUAGGUAGAUCUACAAGCUUCCACACUGAAUUGAAGUAUAUAGACUCCAUUUCAAGGUCCAUGGCUUUGACCCAUUGGUCCUUGUCUACAUCAUUCAUUGCUUGUUUAUAGGACAAUAGAUCCUCAACGCCAUCAUCUAGUAUGACAAUCUGAGUUUCAGUUAAAUUCAAGUAACAGUUAUGUUGUGAUACAAUCUUUCCACUGCGUCGAGGCAUUCUCAACGAUUGAGAAAGAUGAGACUGACCUGAUGUGUUGGUUUCAUCAACAAUUGAUGAGGGACCAGCUUCAUCAACAACCAUUGUCGAUCAUUUGUUACUUCACUUAAUACUAUUUUUUUGUGGUUUAUGAUCUCUCAUGGGGUCUUCUUCAAAGAAAGUAGUCUUUGUCGAUACAAACACUCUAUUUUACUGUGGAUCGAAGAAUAGACCACCUUUCAUUUUUUUAGGAUAAUCAACAAAUUUAUAUAACCUUGAACGGGGUUCCAACUUUUUGGGAUUUGUCAUUAACACGUGUGUUGGACAAUCCCAAAUUCUGAAGUGACUUAAACUACGUUUAUGUCCUCUUCAUAACUCGAAAGGUGUUUCAAAAACUCUCUUCGAGGGAACAUUGUUCAAGAUAUGAACUGCAGUCUCUAUUGCAUACCCUUAAAAAGAGCUAAGCAAUUGAGCAUAGCUCAUCAUUGAACGAACUAUGUCUAACAAGGUUCUAUUUCUCCUUUUUGAUACAUUAUUUUGUUGAGGUGUACUAGGUGUUGAACGUUAGGAAUGGAUUCCAUGUUCUAUCAUAUAUUCCUAAAAUCUCAAAUCCAUGUACUCUCCACCUCGAUCAGAUUGAAAUAUUUUAAUUUUUUUACUUAAUAGAUUUUCAACUUCAACUUUGUACUCCUUGAACUUUUCAAGAGCUUCACACUUAUGCCUCAUUAAAUAUAAAUAACCAUACCUUAAAUAAUCAUCUAUAAAAGGGAUGAAGUAUUCAAAACCUCCUAUAGCUUUUACAUUCAUCAGACUACAGACAUCUAAAUGUAUAAGUUCUAUGGGGUCUUUGGCUCUAUAACCUUUUUUAGUAAAGGACAUUUUAGUCAUUUGUCCUUCAAGACAAGAUUCACACGAAGACAAUGAAUCAUCUUCUAACUCAUUUAGAAGUCCAUUAUUUAACAAUCUCUCGAUCCUAUCGAGAUUAAUGUGACCUGAUCUUAAAUGCCAAAGAUGGGUAUUGUUAUUAUGAUAAAUUCUUUUCUUUUUAUUUUGAGUAUUAUCAUAUUUAAACAUCUCAUUAUUUAAAAUUGUUUUCGCUUCGUUACGUCUUAAUACAUACAAGUUGUCUUAAAGCUUAGUUGAACAAAUAUGUACACCAUUAUUAGAAAUAAACGCUUCAUUUAAAGAAAAUGUUACAUUAUAUGAUUGUUCAAUAAGACAAUAAAUAUAUAUAAGAUUUCUUUUAAUCUUAGGAACUAUGUGGACGUUUUGUAAAAACAAGAAUCUAUUUUUGAAAGACAGCUUAACAUCUCCCACUACACGAGCUGAAAUGGCAUCUUAUAGAAAUUUAAUUUUGGAUAUGAUUCAAAAUUAAUUUAUUAGAGAUAAAAUAUUUGAAUGACUUCAAAUAUUAAAUAAAUUUAAUGUGAAUUUGAUUCAUAUUAAAAUAUAUUGGUUAUGAGAUAAACUUAUAUUUGAAUAUGAUUCAAAUUUAAUUUCAAUUAGAUAUAAGACAUUUAAUUUAGCCACUAAUUAAUUGGAGAAUUAAUUAAUAGUUUAGUUUUAUUAAAUUAAAUUAAUAUAAAUCUUUAAGAUAUUGGAUAGAUAUUAGUUAAAUAAGAUUUGAAUGAAAUAUUAAUUAAAUAUGAUUUAAUUAAUUAUUAACUAAUUAGUAAAUUUGAAAUUUUUACUAAUUUAAUAUUUUUAUGGAAUCUCAUGAAUCUCUCCAACUUCCUUUUAUACUUCAAGAAGGAAAGACACUUAUAAAUAUAAAACUACAUAGAAUAGCAUUUUGAAAAUAUGAUAUAGCAAAUAUAACACAUUUUUUUAGAAUUUUGCAAAUGUGACAAAAUUUUCACUUAUAAAAAAACUCUUCAUCUUAAAAUUGUUAUUAUUUCUAAACUACCCUUCAAUAACUUAUUUCCUUCCUCUUUUUAAUGCCCUACACAUUAUUUAUUUAUUUAUUUAUUCUCCCACUUUUUUAGGCCCUAAUUAUUUAUUUGUUCUUAUACAAGAAAAAAUAUUUGUUCUUUCUGUCUUAAUCUUGAUUUUAGAAUAUUAAUAGUACAAUAAUUACAAUAUAAAAUAUAAUGGUGUUGUUGAUCAGAGUAAUUUAACUUCAUUUGUAAUUUUUUUUUGUAAUUUUUUUUUUUACUUUAUUUUAUAUGUAUUUUGAGUUGAAUCUGAUUUCAAAUGAUUUUGCUUUUAUUUUUUUUGCAUUGAUUUUGUUUUGGUUUUACUUUAUCUUAGUUUUGUAUACCAGGGUUGUGAUAUACUUAUAUUAUAUGUAUUAGUUGGUUGAUAUACUUACUACGUGGUUUUCAUUUUUUCUUUCAAAUUUUAUGCACUUCAUUAUAGUAUUAUUAGGUAUAUGAAUGAUAUAACUCAGUGUAUCUUUAUCAAGUAUAUCAACAAAAUAUUGUUAAAGCAUAUCAGCAAAGUGAAUCAUUAACAAGUAUAUGAAUCAAGUUUAAAAGUGUAUAUCAAUAGUAUAUCAAGUGUAUAAGUAGGACUUCAAGCAUAUCAAGUGUAUUUAAUGAAUCAAAUGUAUAAGUAAAGAAUACUAAUUAAGUAUAUUUUCACAACGCAUCGGAUUUAUCAAAUAUAUCAUGUACAUCAAACAUAUCAAAUUUGUCUAGUAUACCAAUGAAGCAUAACAAGUUUAUUACUGGUGUAUCAAGUGUAUCAAACUUAUAAGAGAAGCCUUUAAGUGUAUCAAAUUAAUCAAGUGUAUCAAGUGUAUCAAGAAGAUUAAAAUAUAAUGAGGAGUAUAAUGUGUAUCAAGAUGUUUUAGGUGUGUAUCAAAAUGUUUUAGGUGUGUAUCAAAAGCUAUCGAGUGUAUCAAAAAGUAUUAGGUGCAUCAAGUGUAUUUAUCAAAUGUAUCAAGUGUAUCGGCAAGAUGUAUCAAGGGUAUUAGGUGUAUCAUAUGUGUAUAAGGUUUAUUAAAUAUAUAUCAGUAACGAGGGCAUUUGUGACAUUUUACCUCUUGAUGUGUGGGUUGGGCUUUGUUUUUGCAAUUUUUGCAAAUAAGAAAAUAUGUGUGUUAUGGACUUAAUUAUUAUAACUUGUUUUACAAUUUUUACAAGUGUCUCUUAUAAAUAUCUAGAAGAAAACAGUUUUCUUCAACGAAUUAAUAAAAAAAAGUCAUUGCUUUUGCUAUCUGGAAAAAGAAAAUAGUUUCUCUCUAAACCUUUUUCUAACCAAAUUAGUUCCCACAAACCAAUCUCAUCCCAUAUGAUAUGAAGGUCUCUGAUGGGUGGUGUCCUAAUUUGGAGAUUCACUGUAGAUUCAAAGACAUAAACAAGUAAUUUUUAUUUCUCUAAUCUAUAAUUAGAAAGCAUGCUUAGCGUUUAAAUCUUAAUGAGAAAACUAGUUUCUUAAUUAUUUUUGUCAAUGUACUAGUAUUUUGGGAUUCCCAAAUUAAAUUGAGUAAUGGUUCUGUAAAGUCUUCCACUGUCAUAGGGCUUUUAUCCCUUCAGCUUUAAUAUUAAUUUCCUGUGUUCGACCUUGGAUCACCUAAGUAAACUGAAUGCUUCGCUUAUACUUGGACAAGCAAUAGAAAAACUUGCACUUUAUGGACUUAGAAGUAGGUUGUCGAGACAUUGCGAGUAUUUUGCAUGCAAUGAUCAUUUCAACUCGCAUGAUGAAGAGAAUGUUGGAGAGCAUUUUGCAUGCAAUGAUCUGUAUUCAAUGACAUGUCAUCACACCACAAACCAAACAACCAAACAGUCAUUCUAUAAUAAGUAUGUAUGCCUUGACUAGAGGCAAGUCUUUGAGAAUAUUUUUCUUAGAGACAACACAACAUAUUUCACAAUAAGUCCCAUGAAACAUAAUCCCAAUUUCAAAACAAUCACAUCCAAAAUCAUUACAUCUUGGGAGAGUGUUUCAUGAAAGCAAGAUUAGCAAAACACCAAGCACUUUCCCUUAUUGUAAAAGGCAAAAAUUAGAGCCAAUGAGUAUGCGAAAUCAUACUCAGCAGCUUGCCUCAUCUUCUUGUACCUUCAUUUGUUGUUUAUUUGUUUGUAUUUGUAAUGUAAGCUUCAUGGCCGAAAGGCCUAAAGCUUUAGCUAUGAAUGCAAUACAUUUCUACUUCCAUUUUUUCAUUUUCUUAUCUUGCCAUUUCAUUUAAGUCUAUGUAAUUAGGGGUAAAUAAUGUAAGGCAUAAUUAAUGUUAGGGAACCUGGAUGUCUGCGUUAAUUAUUUGUCUUGUUUAGUCAAAUGCGGUCAUUAAUGUUUUGUUUUAUUCAAGAGAAAAGUUAAAGUGUUAACUAUUGUCAAUUGACGCAUGAUGAUUUUGAUUUAUCUAAACAGAUGACAAAAGGGUUGUACCGAUGCAAUCUUGUAGCCAAACUCUCAUUUGUAGCAUACAUAUAAAAAAUGUGAGUGCAUGCAACAAAGACAUCGAGAGGUUGCUUCCUUUAAUAUAGGAUGAGUUGCUUAUAAUUAAUUCAAAAAGAUUAUAUACAAAUUAUUUAUUAAUUUUAAGUAUUUGGAUGUCGAAAGGGGAGCAAAGAUGACAAAGGCCUUGAGAGGUUGCUCACUUUAAUUAAAUCUUAAGUUAACAAAUGUUUUGUAUCGUGUUAACAUGUUAGAUAUCCUUGCUUUAUAUUUAAUUAGUUACAUAUUUCUACAUUUCAUCGCCAAUUACAUGAGUUCCUAUUUCAUUUCAUUGCCAUCUCCAUCUUGCUGCUCCAUGGCACUUAGUGUAAAUAUAUAGGACAAAAUUAUAUUGUGCCUAUUAAUAGACUGUAUAGAUACCACGUGAGUUAGAACACAUGAUUAACCUAUUAAGAUUAUUAUAUUCCUAUGGUCGACCCUGGCUUACCCAGAAAACCUCUUUUCGCUUAUACUCGGGCAAGAGAGGAAAUUUGUACUCAAAAUAAUGAAUUAACGAAGUCAACAACGUAUAGGUAGGAUUGUACUGUUCCUUUUAUCACAUGACCCUAACCUAAUCACCAUUUCUAGUGGCAUGCUUAGAGCCCAAGACAUAUUCACGAAUUGAUGUUGUAAUUAAACAAACAAGCAUAAAGCUUAAUGCAAUUAGUUUGAUUUGAAUUGGCAUGAAUUUCAUUGAAUUAGGCUAGUUUGAUUCUUCCGACAAUUUAGUUAGCUUUUUUAAUUGAAAUUGUUAGGGGUAGUCAAUGAAUUCUAUUUAGUAAUGAAAAUCCCAUGAGCAAAUUGAUGCUUUGAAUAAAGUGAAUCAAUUAACCAGAUAGGAUCUUUUGACUAUUGAAUUUAUACUUGAAUUUACAUGGUUUUAUGCAAAUUUACAUUCUUUGAAAUGAAAAAUAUCUGAAACCCCUUUGAUAUCCUUGGGUUGUUUACUAUUUACUUGGGACAUUUACUCUGUUCGACCAAGGCUUGCAACUAAGACUAGUUCUUGUGGAGUGUUUUGGUCAAAUUAUUUAAUCUGGAUUUUGGCAACGAAAUUCAUCUCGACAUGAUUCAAGUAAUUUUGACACAUUCAUCAUUCUUCUUUCCUUUAAGUUUUUACUGUUUAUUAGAGUAAUCUUCUUGCUACAUAAAUCAAACACUUGACAUGCUUCUAGAUGUCUUACCAGAAGUCAGGAUCUUAUCUAAGGACUUCAAGCAUGCUAGAGUUCAAAAUCCUGACAUUCUUAACUGCAGAGUCUUUCUCAACUCAAAUUUGAUUGAGUUUUUGCUUAAGUUCAGCAAUGGUAGACACGAGCCCGUGAUUAUUAUGCAUAAGAGACUUAGUUCUCUUCUUUUGAACAUUUAGAGUUUUCAAGUUUUCUUGACAUCUCUUUUAGAGGGUUUGAUAAGCUGAUAAAUCUUAAUCAACGAACUUGGCUUUGCAUACUUUUUUUUGCUCAAUGACCAUCCAUCAGCAUAGACAUUGAACUCUAAAUUUACCAAACAAGUGUCUGAUGUGAUGUUGCUAACAAAUGCCUUAACAUCUCCAUUAGAGUCACUAUUGUUGAACUUAUUGCCUUACAUGGUUGAUGCAUUGCCUUUGAUUUGCUUUUUUAAAAAGUUUGGACAUUCUUGAAAGUGCCUAAAUCAUUCACAUUCUUUACACCUAAAAAUUUUUUGUAAAGAAGAAUUAGACAUACCUAAUUUGUCAGGGUCCGUCUUGUAAGGCUACAUUUUGGAAAACUUGUGAAAAUAUCCAGCACAAGUUUUGUUCUCAUUGAGAUUAGCAAAAUUAGGCUUCUCACCAUACUGUUUAAGUACACGAUUGAAUUGUUUCAACAAUAGCAAUGGACUCAACAUGAGUGUCGUCAGAAUCUUAACAGGCACUUGAUGUUUCUCUUUUAUCACAGAGUAGAAAGAAAUUCCCUUUUUCUUCUUUUCAGAUGUACCUAAGAACAUUUCAAAGGUUGACAAUGAUCUGAAUAGUUCAUCCACCUUCGCAAUGAAGCUAUGUUUUGAGAUUCUUCCAUUUUGUUGUCACUUUUACAUCAUUCCUUGGGAAUCUUCUCCUCCAAGGCAAACAAUUCAUCUGCAAUAUCCAACAAAACAAAUGUUGAACUUAAUAAUAGUUUCAUCAUCAUGCAAUCUGGGAGACUCAAAUUUAGAUAAUUCGUAGUUGGAGUCUUGACAUCUUCACCUUGGAGGUAUCUUCAUGCACAACAAUCAAGACCUCCCUUGCUUCCUUAAACACAUGUGUGAAUAAGUCUGAUGUCUACACCAUUAAAUAUUGACAUAAAAUAGUGUAAAGUUUCCCACAGAUGCUUCAUCUUCUACUUUGAUCAACUAAAACUCUUGUUCUAGUUUCUUUUUUUUUUUUCAAUUUAGUUUUCUAGUGGAAUGCCACCGACCAUAAAUAAUUGCUUUCCAUGUUUGUUAUCAAUUGACUUUUGAAAGUCAAUUGUUCAUGCUUUCCAGUAGGAGUAAUUAGUUUUAUCAAGAACUAGGGGGCAAGUGUUGGGAUCCACCUUCUUUGUGUUAGAAAUUAAUAAGCUAGAUACAUUAUGGAUAACACAUUAAUAGAUACAUUUUGUGUCUUUUAGGAAGUGUCUCUUGAGUACUAUAUAUAGAGAUCAUUUCCUUCAUUUAUAUGCAAGAUAAAAGAAUCAAAUCAAUAGAAGCAAAUCGAGUUUUAGAAAGUAAGUGAGUUUCAAGAGAACAAUAUUCUUCUCUUGUGUGUUAUUGAGUUUUCUAAGAGAACAAGUUUCUUCUCUUAAAAGUUUGUGAGAUUUAGGGUAAAUUUAGAGUGGGCUCGUCAACGCCUCCAACAAAGUGGUAUUAGAGCAAGGAUUGAAAGAUGUCAUCUAACAUGUUGCAGCCUCAACUUCCUCGCUUUGAGGGGAAAACUAUAGGCGGUGGAGCCAGCAAAUGAAGGUUAUUUAUGGAUCUCAAGAUCUUUGGGAUAUUGUUGACAACGAAUAUUGAGAGUCAGAAAGUGAGAAUGGUCUUUCAGCACAACAACUCAAUGAGUUGAGAGAUGCUAGAAAAAAGGAUAAGAAGACAUUAUUUUUCAUCUACCAAGUUGUGGAUGAAAAUAUUUUCGAAAGAAUAUCAAGAGUCUCUACUGCUAAAGCAGCAUGGGAUGCAUUGCAAAAUUUGUAUGAAGGAGAAGAAAAGGUAAAAUUAGUCCAAUUACAAACACUUUGAGCUGAAUUUGAUACAAUUCGAAUGAAAGAUGCCGAAACUAUUGAAGAAUAUUUCAACCGUGUUCUCUUAAUUGUUAAUCAAUUGAGAUCAAAUGGAGAAACAAUUGGAUCCUUAGAAGCAUGACUAGAAAAUAUGAGCAUAUUGUUGUAGCAAUUGAAGAAUCCAAAGAUUUGUCAACUCUCUCUAUAAAUAGCUUAAUGGGAUCUCUUCAAUCUCAUGAUCUCAGAUUGAAGAUGUUUUGAUUCUACUCCUUCAGAAAGCUUUUCAUAUGCAGUCCUCCAAUAGAGGUCGAUCCAAUGGAAGAAGAGGUGGAUGUGGUGGUAGAGGCAAUGGACGAUCCAGUGUUGUAACAAAUACAGAGUCAGAAAGCAGAGACAAUCAAUCUUUUUCAAAUAGAGGACGGGGAAGAAGUUCAAAUAGAGGAAGAGGUAUAAGUGGUGGUCGUGAAGAUUUUUCUCACAUACAAUGUUUCAAUUGUAGACAUUAUGGACAUUUUCAAGCAGACUGUUGGUCUAAGAAGAUCAACUCUGUGAAGCAUGUGUUUUCGGAAAGCAUCAUCGAAAUUCAUUUUCGACUGGAGGUUCUUGGAGAGCAUCAAAGCCACUUGAGCUUGUUCAUACAGACUUAUGUGGACCAAUGAGAACUACCACAUGGAGGUAAUCGUUAUUUUCUCACAUUUAUUGAUGACUACAGUCGAAAAACAUGGAUUUAUCUACUAAAAGAAAAGAGUGCUAUUUUCGAAUGUUUCAAGACAUUCAAAGCAAUGGUGGAAAAUGAAAGUAACUUGAAAUUGAAAUCAUUACGUUCGGAUCGUGGAGGAGAAUAUAUUGUUUUUGUAGAUUUCUUGAAGGAAAAUGAAAUCAAGCAUCAAAAGACUGUUUGAAGAACUCCUCAACAAAACAGAGUUUCAGAGAGGAAAAAUAGAAUAAUAAUGGAACUUGCAAGAAGUAUGUUGAAGUUGUAGAUACCGUAUUUUGUCCUAUAUUUAUUUAUUAUAAAAGAAAAAAGAAAAAGAAAAAGAAAUUAAAUUUGAAUUUGAAUUUGAAUUUGAAUUUGAAUUUGAAUCUUAAAUUUAUAUUUAAAAAAAACAAUAAUAAUAAUAAUAAAUACAUUUAAAAAUAAAUAAUAAAAAUAAAACUAAAAGGUUUGAUUUCCUUCCUAUUUUUUCUCAACCAUCCCUUUUUCUUCGUCAUCACUCUCCCACUUUCUCCCACUCUAUCACUUUCUCCCACUCUCCCACUUUCUUCCUAUUUCUCUGUAAUCUGCACUCCAUCUCGUGAUCUAAAAAAAAGCAAUGGAGCUUGCCCUAUAAAAAGGAAAGAGGAAAAAGAAAACAGGGGAUCUUUUUUUUAUUAUUGGAGGAUUUAGAAAGAGGGGAAGAGUGAAAGAAGAUCAAAAAGGAAUAACCUUUGGCAUUGAAGGGAAGAGUGAAAGAAGAUCAAAAAGGAAUAACCUUUGGCAUUGAAGGGCAGACCUGCUGGUAAGUUUUUUUUUCUUUUUCCUCUUUUUAUUCUUAUUCUUGUUUAAUGAUUUUUUUUUUUUCUUCUUCUUGUUUGAUAUUCUUGUUUGGCAUCUGUGUUAAUUUCUUUUUAAUUAAUUAGCAUCAUAUAUUUGUAUUUGGAUACUCAUUCUUCAUUGACACCCAUUUUACAGUUAAUUACUUAUUACUUAUAUCCAUAUGGCAUCCUUAAUAAUUAUGCAUAAUUAAUCAAUUAGCCUUUUGUAUUUGGUAAUACUCAUUCUUCAUUGGCAUUCAUUUUACAGUUUUUGUUAAUUACUUUAUCCAUGUAUCCAUAUGGGUAGGCAUACCCUGUUAAUAAUUACUGUUAUCCAUAUAUUAUCCAUGUUAAUAAUUAUGCGUGAUAUAAUUAAUAUUUGGCAACAACCAUUUUUCAUUUGGCCUAUUAAUUAAUUAGCAACUUGUAUGUGACAUUUUCACUCCCUCAUUCUAAUUAUUUGCAUGAUGUAUUAAUUAAUCAGUAUGCAUAUGUGGCUAUAAUUAUUUGAUAUUUAUUUGGUGUGAUUAUUUAUUCGCAAUAUUAUUUAUUUGUAUAUUGGGCCAAACCUACUUUAGCAUUCAACUGUUAAUUAUUAUUUGAUAUCCAUUUGGCCUCGUUUAAUUAUGCAUUAAUCAAUUAUUUUGCAUCCUGCAUUAAUCAAUUAUUUUGCAUCAUUUUGAAUUAAUUAAUUAUGUUGCAUAUGUUGUAUUAAUUAAUUAUCUUGCAUCCUACAUUAAUAUCUUUUACAUUUUGCAUAUAUUAUCAAUGUAUUUAUUUUAUCUCAGCAUAUUACACCUAAGUAUUUUUCAAAUUUCAUAAUGUUUUGUCAUUGUUAUUAUUUUUUUUAUAAUAAUGUAAAUUGGAGAAAAAGUAUUGUUUUUUAUGGAUUUUAUAAUUUAAAAUCCAUAAAUACAUGAAAUUUUUCCGUUUGAAAUUUAAUUAAUAGAUUUUUUUUUUUAAAUUAACACAUUUCAUAUUUUAAAUGAGACUGAGUAGUAUUUUCUAUGAAUUUAUUAAUUCUAGAUAUAUGAAAUUUUUCAUUAAACACCUAUGAUAGAGAUUAAAAUAUCAAGUGUUGGUAUCUUAAUAUUCUUAAGGUGAAUAAAAAUAUUUUAAAACAAAAAUAAACUUAAUUUUUCUAAUGGCUCCUAUGCCACUCAUAAUCAUCAAUUCAUGCUUAGUUUUUACUUUCUUCGAUAUGAAUUGAUAAACAUGGGACAUUUAAACAAAACCUAAAUAAAAUUUUAUUUUGUGAACCUUUAUAAUUUAAUUUAAAAGAUAAAAUUGGGUAACCAUUUUUUUGGGUGUUGUAGGGUGCUAACACCUUCCCUACACAUAACUGACUCCCGAACUUAAAUCUCUGAAUGUACGCAGACCAUUUUUUUUUCUUUCUUUUUUUUGGGUGACCAAUCACACCUUAAUAUGAUUGGUGGCGACUCCAAAAUUUUUUAUUAAAAUAAAAUAAACGGGGAGGUCGGCCGCUCCGCGUAGCGAUCACGUCGCGACAGCUUGGCGACUCCGCUGGGGAUAUUGCAAUGUGUAAGAGAGUCAAGCCAGCACAUUUUUAUCUUUUAUUCUUAUUAUAUUAUAAUAUGUUGGUUCACUUAAUUAUUUGUUUUUUUUAUUGAUUCAUAUGUAAUAUUCUGUACUAUGUUAUUGAUACAUUUUUUUUUAUGCCAGCAUGCAUUUACACACACUCACAAGCCCUCUACCCGGGCCACAACCUUAUAGGACUAGAAUUGAGGAUGGAGUAGUGUUGACUUUCGAAGGGUUUCGACUCUCGUGUAGGCACAUGAAAAAUCCUCGCUCAGAUUAAUUCUUUUGUUAUUUCUUAAAUAACAUUAGAAAGUUUGAGGGCCUUUUAACUUAUAAGAGUUUAGAUAAUACCAACACCAUGUCAUUUUCUUUUUGACAUAUUUUAUCCAAAAGUCAACUAUUCAAAUUAUUUUUAUUUAUUUAUUUUAACAAAGUUUCACAUUUUCCUAAAAUUUUAAAUAAUACAUAUUUCAUUUUUUUAAAAAAAGAAUUUCAAUAAUAGUAUUUUCUAUAUUAUUAUUAUUUUGAGUUUGAUAUUUAAAUUUUAUUUAUCUUAGUUCCCUAGAAUUUGGGUCAUUUGGCUUCAUGCAUAGUUUAAAGAAAGUAAUGUUUACAUUGUAGAGGUACAUGAAAACCUUUAUAUUUUCUAAAAUUAACUAAAUAUUAAAAAACAAUUAAGCUAAAGUACAUAAAAUUCUUAUUUCUUUCAUUUUCAUGUUUUUUCUUUCUUUUUGAUUUUUGAUUUUUGAUUUUAAAUUUUUAAUUUUAAAUUUUAAAUUUUUAAUUUUAAAUUUUAAAUUUUAAAUUUUAAAUUUUAAAUUUUAAAUUUUUCUUUCUCUUUCUUCCCUUGCUCUUUAGUCUUCAAAGUUUUCAAAAUAGUCAAAGUAAAACAUAGCUCACCCUACUCCAAUUCAUCAUCCUUACAAUACGAUGCAUAAAAGUCGAAUCAUGGAAGAACAAGAUAAAGACAUGGAUAAAAUGAGACAAGAUAUUAAUAGUCUUGGGGAACAAGUUUCAAAAAUACUGGAAUUGCUUUCAGUAGGAAAAGAAAAAGUCGUCAUAGAAACAGCACAAUCAAGUAAUCCGGUUCAAGACACCGAUGAUCCCAUUUAUCCCCCAGGAUUUACGCCACGCCACAUGAACGCUACACAGUCUCAAACCGCUCAACAUUAUGUUGCUAUGAAUCCACUUUUUGAUGUUCCACCUCCUGUCCCAGAUAUAGAACAAUUGGAAACUCAGGCUAAAAUUCAAGACAUGGGGCAAAAUGAAAACACUCCGGCUAAGCAAAAACUAGAUGUUUUGGAAGAAAGAUUGCGAGCAAUUGAAGGGACUGAUGUUUAUGGAAAUAUAGAUGCAACACAGUUGUGUUUAGUACCGGGUUUGAUCAUUCCAACAAAGUUUAAAGUUCCCGAAUUUGACAAAUAUGAUGGAUCAUCGUGUCCAAGGAGUCAUCUUAUAAUGUAUUGUAGAAAGAUGGCAGCGCAUAUUGGUAAUGACAAAUUGUUGAUCCAUUGCUUUCAGGACAGUUUGACUGGUCCAGCUACUCGAUGGUAUAUUCAAUUAGAUAAUGCACACAUUCAUGUUUGGAAGGAUUUAGCUGAUGCAUUUCUAAAGCAAUACAAACAUAAUAUUGAUAUGGCUCCAGAUCGUUUAGACUUACAACGGAUGGAGAAGAAAAGUUCAGAAAGCUUUAAAGAAUAUGCUCAACGAUGGAGAGAUAUAGCCGCAGAGGUUCAACCACCAUUAACAGACAAAGAAAUGACAUUUAUGUUUAUGAAUACUUUGCGGGCGCCGUUCUAUGAUCGAAUGAUUGGUAAUGCUACAACCAAUUUUUCUGACAUUAUUGUUAUUGGUGAAAGAAUUGAAUAUGGGAUAAAACAUGGGAGGUUAAUAGAGACUUCAGCUGAGUAUGGUGGAUUAAAGAAAGGAGCAACACCUAAGAAGAAAGAAGGUGAGGUUCAUGCAAUUGGUUUUCCUAAUUUAGGGAACCACAAAUCAACUUUUGGCCAAAGAAAACAUGACCAAAGUUUUCCUUCAUAUAUAAGCAAUGUUACUCAUAUCCCUUAUAACAACUAUGUACCAACCCACUCUCCCUCUGGAGCCCCAAAACUUGUAAAUUCAAACUUUUCUCGACCGUUUGUACAAGGUCAGGGUAGCAAGACCAACUCAGAAACAUUUCGAUUUGACCCAAUUCCUAUGACAUAUACAGAGCUUUUACCUCAGCUAGUUCAUAAUCGACAGUUAGCUCCUAUCCCAAUAAAUCCUAUACAACCUCCUUAUCCAAAAUGGUAUGAUCCAAAUGCUCGAUGUGAUUAUCAUGCCGGAGGAGUGGGACACUCAACUGAAAAUUGUUUAGCUUUGAAAAGGAAGGUGCAAUCUUUAAUUAAUGCUGGAUGGUUGAGCUUCAAAAAAGCUGGGGAGAAGCCGGAUGUCAACAACAAUCCACUUCCUAAUCAUGAAAAUUCAAAAGUGAAUGCGAUAGAUUGUUUUGUUGGAAAGUGUAAAAAUGAAGUUCAUGAGAUAAGGAUGCCUAUGGAAACACUUUUUGAAGGUCUUUUUGAAGCAGGAUAUGUUAGUUUGGAGUAUUUAGACCCCAAUAUAAGAUACGAAGGAUACGAUGAAGGCAAACGUUGUAUAUUCCAUCAAGGAGUUGCAGGCCAUCCUAUCCAACGAUGUUGUACAUUUAGAUCUAAAGUACAACAAUUUAUGGAUUCGAAGAUACUCACAGUAUACGAAGGACAAGGAAAAGAUGAGAUGAAAGACAAUAAAAUAUGUACAUUAAUGGGUGAAGUUGCAAAAAAGGAAAAUCCCUUUUUACCAAGGCCUUUGACAGUCUUUUAUCAAGAAAAUCGUAAUAAAUCAAGUUCUUGCAAUCCUAAACAACUCAUUGUCGAAGUACCGAGUCCUUUCAAAUUUAAGGAUUUGAAAGCGGUGCCAUGGCGGUAUGAUUGCCAAGUCAUUACAGGUCCUUCAGUUGAUAAUAUUACAGGAAUCAGCGGGAUAACUCGAAGUGGAAGAUGUUAUAAACCAGAUAAUUUAACAGCUCCUUCAAGUAGUUUAACAUUGGGGCAAGGGAGGAAAAGUGAGAAAAGAAAUGUGAAUGAACAUGACAAAGAGCAGGAUGUAGAGAUGUCUGUCACAGCAAAAGAUAUAGAAUGCAAAAAACCUGUUACAGAUGAGGCAGCAAACGAAUUCUUGAAAAUAGUAAAACAAAGUGAGUAUAAGAUUAUAGAGCAAAUGCAUAAUACUCCAGCUCGAAUUUCUUUAUUAUCUUUGUUUUUAAAUUCAGAGCCUCAUCGCAAAGUGCUAUUAGAUAUUUUGAAUAAGGCACAUGUUGGACAUGACAUUUCAGUGGAAAAGUUCAGCGGAAUUAUUGGAAGCAUUACGUCUUCAAAUUCUAUAGUCUUCACGGAUGAUGAAAUUCCCCCUGAAGGUGUAGGCCAUAUAAAAGCACUGCAUAUUCAAGUGAAGUACAAGGAUUAUGUUAUAGCAAGAGUUUUAGUGGAUAACGGUUCAGCUCUUAAUAUAAUGCCUAAAUCUACACUAUUAAAGCUCCCAGUGGACAUGUCAUACAUCAAAUCAAGUACUAUGGUAGUGAGAGCUUUUGAUGGAUCACGAAGAGAAGUAAUUGGUGAUAUUGAAUUACCAAUCAAAAUUGGCCCAUGUACUUUCAAUAUAGUCUUUCAAGUAAUGGAGAUAACACCUACUUACAGCUUUUUGUUAGGUCGUCCUUGGAUUCACUCUGCAGGAGUGGUGCCAUCUACAUUGCAUCAAAAAUUGAAAUUUAUUGUUGGGAGUAAGAUGAUUUGUUUAAUGGGAGAGGAAGAUUUUCUGAUAACAAAACCGAUAUCAACCCCAUAUGUGGAGGCAACAGAAGAAGCUUUAGAGUGUUCUUUUCGCUCUUUUGAAAUUGCUCAUGCAACUAUGAUGGAAGCAACUGCAGGUGAAGUAAUAAAGUCACACAUGCCUAAAGUUACGACAAAAAGGAUGAUGAGAAGUGGAGGAUAUGGUUUGAAUCAAAGCUUGGAAACACUUCUAAAUACACCAAGCAAUGAAGGGAGAUUUGGUUUGGGUUAUAUGCCAAACGUAUAUGAUAAAAUUAGGCUUCAAAAAGAAAAGAAGAAAAGGUGUUUGGAAAAGCAAGGGAUGAUGGUGUUUGAUCCAAGUCUAAAAUUUAUACCAGCAUUAUAUGAUACUUUCAAGAGUGCUGGUAUAAGUUACUCAUCACGUGACUCUGAUUCAAAACAUUGUUUGUUAACAAAGAUGGAGAGUUUAUCAAUUGCAGCAGUGGCACAAGAAGCAUCAUUUGAAGAUGAAACAGUUUAUGCAUGUCCACCUAAUUUUGAGCUUAACAAUUGGGAUGUUGUAGACCUACCUACAUUUUCUGGAGAUUUUCAAGAGUAAUGAUUAAACUUUUAUUUGUUUUAAUUUUCUAGUUGGUUCUACUUAAGGCCACAGUAUUUUGUUUGCUUUACAAAAUGGAAUGUACUUUUUUUUUUCCUCUUUCUUGUUAUUUAAUGAAAUUUUCGCAUUUUCCUUUCAUUCUUUCUAAUUUCUUCUUCUCUCUGCUUUCUUUCUUGCAUCUUGCAAAUUAAACACAAAAGUCCAAACUUUUUCAUAGACAACAUUCAUAAGAACGAAGAUGUUAGUAAUUCCAGUUCUACCCUUGAUACCUUAAUAUACACUAUGGAAUCUGACAAAGAGAGUGACGAUGAAAAUGCUGGGAGAAUAUCCUCAGAACUGUUAAGAUUAGUAGAAGAAGAAGAUAAGGUCUUAGGUCCUCACCAAGAGCUAGUUGAAGUAAUCAAUUUGGGUUCUCAGGAGGAAUCAAAAGAGGUAAAAAUUGGCACAUCAAUGACCAGUGAAACUCGAAAAAAAAUAAUCAAUUUGUUACGUGAGUACUCAGAUAUUUUUGCUUGGAGUUAUCAGGAUAUGCCGGGGUUAAAUACGGAUAUUGUAGUACAUCGUGUUCCUUUGAAGCCAGAAUGCAAUCCAGUAAGACAAAAGCUACGUAAAAUGAAGCCUGAUAUAUUGAUUAAAAUGAAAGAGGAAGUACAAAAACAAAUUGAAGCAGGAUUCCUCAUAGUCUCCAAAUAUCCUGAAUGGGUGGCAAAUAUUGUUCCAGUACCUAAAAAAGACGGAAAAAUGAGAAUGUGUGUGGACUAUAGAGAUUUAAAUCGAGCUAGUCCAAAAGAUAACUUCCCUUUACCUCACAUCGACAUGUUGGUGGAUAACACUGCAGGAUAUUCAACUUUCUCCUUCAUGGAUGGUUUCUCAGGAUAUAAUCAAAUCAAAAUGGCUGAAGAAGAUAGAGAAAAAACAACAUUCAUUACCCUUUGGGGAACAUUUUGCUACAAAGUAAUGCCUUUUGGUUUGAAAAAUGCCGGGGCAACAUAUCAGCGAGCAAUGGUUACACUUUUUCAUGAUAUGAUGCAUAAGGAAAUAGAGGUGUAUGUUGAUGAUAUGAUUGCAAAAUCCAAGGCAAAUGAAGAUCAUACAACUAUACUUCAAAAAUUAUUCGAUCGGUUGAGAAAGUAUCAAUUGAAAUUAAAUCCAUCCAAAUGUACAUUUGGGGCAACCUCGGGAAAACUGUUGGGAUUCAUUGUCAGUGAAGAAGGGAUCAAAGUAGACCCAGAUAAAGUGAAGGCUAUCAUGGACAUGCCAUCCCCUGAAACGGAAAAAGAAGUUCGAGCCUUUCUUGGAAGACUGAAUUACAUAUCCAGAUUUAUCUCACAUUUGACCCCAACUUGCGAACCAAUCUUCAAGCUUUUACGUAAAAAUAAUCCAGGAAAAUGGAAUGAGGAUUGUGAAGAAGCUUUCAACAAAAUUAAGCAAUAUCUACAAAGCCCACCUGUAUUGAUACCUCCAGCUCCAGGACGGCCGUUAAUCCUAUACUUGACGGUUUUAGAAGGUUCUAUGGGUGGUGUUCUAGGACAACAUGACUUAUCAGGAAAGAAAGAGCAUGCUAUUUAUUAUUUAAGCAAAAAAUUCACCGAUUAUGAGUCGAAAUACUCAAUGUUAGAGCGAACUUGUUGUGCUUUGGUAUGGACCGCUCACCGUUUGAGGCAAUAUAUGUUAUAUCAUACGACAUGGCUUAUUUCAAAAAUGGAUCCAAUAAAAUACAUUUUUGAGAAACCGUCAUUAUCUGGUAGAAUUGCAAAGUGGCAAGUUUUGUUGUCAGAGUAUGAUAUUGUUUAUGUUACUAAAAAAGCAAUAAAGGGAAGUGCGCUUGCUGAUCAUUUAGCUGCCCAACCAGUAGCAGAUUACGAGCCAAUGAGCGUUGAUUUUCCUGAUGAAAACAUAUUUUUAGUUGAAAAUGAUGCUACGGAUCAUGAGACUUGGAUUAUGCUUUUUGAUGGUGCCUCAAAUGAGUUGGGACAUGGGAUUGGAGUUGUACUAAUUUCCCCAAAAGGAAAGGUAUUUCCCCUAACAGCUAAGUUAUGUUUUGAAUGCACUCACAAUAUCGCUGAAUAUGAAGCUUGUAUUAUGGGACUUCAAGCAGCAAUCGACAUGAGUGUUAAAAAGUUGAAAGUUUUGGGUGACUCAAUGCUAGUAAUACAUCAAGUCAAGGAAGAAUGGGAAACAAGAGAUGCUAAAUUGGUUCCUUAUAGCCAAUACAUUGCAAAAUUAUCUCAAAAUUUUGAGAAAAUUUCAUUUGACCAUGUUCAUAGGGAAGACAAUCGAAUGGCAGAUGCAUUAGCCACCCUGGCAGUCAUGUUUAAUCUUAAUCUUGAGUAUGAGCUUUAUCCAAUCCAAAUUACGAAAAGAGAUGCGUCGGCAUAUUGCAUGAAUAUUGAAAAUGACAACAAGCCAUGGUAUUUUGAUAUCAAGCAAUACAUAAAGUGUAGAGAAUAUCCAUAUGGAGCUUCAAAGAAUGACAAACGCACAAUAAGAAGGUUGGCCAUGAACUUUUUCUUAAGUGGUGAAGUUCUUUAUAAAAGAAACCAUGAUAUGGUACUCCUUCGGUGUGUUGAUGUGGAAGAAGCAAAACAAAUUAUGAUAGAAAUUCAUGAAGGAAUAUGUGGAACACAUGCUAACGGACAUACUAUGGCCAGACAAAUACUUAGAUCUGGUUAUUAUUGGACAACGAUGGAAUCAGACUGCAUAAAAUAUGCAAGAGAAUGUAAAAAGUGUCAAAUUUAUAUGGAUAGGAUUCAUGCAGCAGCAUCUCCAUUGCAUGUCUUGUCAGCACCAUGGCCAUUUUCUUUGUGGGGAAUUGAUGUUAUUGGACCCAUUGAUCCUAAAGCCUCAAAUGGUCAUCGUUUUAUUCUUGUAGCCAUUGAUUACUUCACUAAAUGGAUAGAGGCGGCAUCUUACUGCAAUGUUACAAGAGGAGUGGUACUCAAGUUUAUCAAAAAAGAGUUGAUCUGUCGUUAUGGUCUACCAGAGGGUAUUAUUACAGAUAAUGCCAAGAACCUUAAUAACAAAAUGAUGGACGAACUUUGUGAGAAAUUCAAGAUCAAUCACAGAAAUUCGACUCCAUAUCGCCCCAAGAUGAAUGGGGCAGUUGAAGCAGCCAACAAAAAUAUUAAAAGAAUUAUUGAGAAGAUGACAACAACAUACAAAGAUUGGCAUGAAAUACUACCGUUUGCAUUGCAUGGAUAUCGCACAUCAGUUCGUACUUCAACAGGGGCAACACCAUUUUCUUUGGUUUAUGGUAUGGAAGCUGUCCUACCUUUAGAAGUUGAGAUACCUUCAUUGAGAGUUCUCAUGGAAGCUAAGUUAGAUGAAGCUGAAUGGAUAAGAGGUCGUUAUGAGCAGUUGAAUUUCAUUGAAGAAAAACGUUUGACAGCAUUAAGUCAUGGACAACUUUACCAAAAAAGACUAAUGCGAGCAUACAAUAAAAAGGUACACCCUCGAAGUUUUCGAGAAGGAGAUUUAGUGUUAAAAAGGAUACUUCCAUUUCUAAAGGACCAUCGAGGAAAAUGGACUCCUAAUUAUGAAGGUCCGUUCAUGGUAAAAAAGGCAUUUUCAAGAGGAGCUUUACUUUUAACCAAUAUGGAUGGUUUUGAGUUAAAAAAUCCGGUGAAUUCAGAUUAUGUUCGAAGAUACUAUGCGUGAGCCCUUUUCAUAGAAAACUUCGUAGUGUUGAAGGAAGUCGGGGGUAUUUCUAGGAAACUUACAUUUAGUUCCUAGAAUGUUAUUUCCAUUUGUAUAAACUUCCCCUUAUCUCCUCUCUUUGUACUCCUAUUCCAAGAAUCGUUGUUAUCUUUUCAUUUCUUAUCAUAUAUAUCAAACACUUCUUUAUUUGUCAUUCCUUUCUUUCAUCCUUUUUAAAUGCCAUCAAAUUAGAGUAAACAUCCAUUAUUCAUUAGCCCAUUUGUUCUAUCUAUUUGUUAAUUAAUAAAGAUUCAGUACGACUUAUUGUAUUUGCAAACCAAGUAAAAGCCAUGAUUUUCUCUUGUUAAGACUUAAGGAAAUGUAGGCGUUUACAAGUCCAGACACAUUUCUCUAUGAUUGUGAGUUGCUGUAAUUGGAAGUCUACAUCCUAAAGGAUUCAUGUUUUGUGAAGUCCAAAACUAAAACAAUAUUAUGUUUUUACAACAUAGUACAAUCUAUCGCAGUUGGAUUCAUUUGUUUUGAUACGAAGAGAGGCGAGUUUGACAGCUUAAAAAAUUCUCGUGAUAUAUGUCUUAUUCUAUCCUAUGACGACAAUGCUCAUAAAUUGUUAAUGGUAUUGGUAAAAUGGAGUAGUGAGCUAUUUAUUCCUUUGAAAAGCACAAUAUAUUUAAAUUAAAUUUCAAAUAGUUUUAAAAGAAGGAUGAGUCCAGAUAUGAAGCUAUGAAGCUGAGGCCGAAGCCUGUCUAUCAGGUCCUUCCACUUUAUCAAACCUAGUCCUAGAGCUAAGGUUGAUUUUUUUUUUUAUUUUUUUUUCUUUUUUCUCUCUCUAAAAUAAAAAAGAUCGGCCAAAUACUUUAUCUAUUUCCUUUGUUCACCUUUAAAUAUUUACAGGAUGGACAAAGGGGGGCAAACUGUAGAUACCGUAUUUUGUCCUAUAUUUAUUUAUUAUAAAAGAAAAAAGAAAAAGAAAAAGAAAUUAAAUUUGAAUUUGAAUUUGAAUUUGAAUUUGAAUUUGAAUUUGAAUUUGAAUCUUAAAUUUAUAUUUAAAAAAAAUAAUAAUAAUAAUAAUAAAUACAUUUAAAAAUAAAUAAUAAAAAUAAAACUAAAAGGUUUGAUUUCCUUCCUAUUUUUUUCUCAACCAUCCCUUUUUCUUCGUCAUCACUCUCCCACUUUCUCCCACUCUAUCACUUUCUCCCACUCUCCCACUUUCUUCCUAUUUCUCUGUAAUCUGCACUCCAUCUCGUGAUCUAAAAAAAAGCAAUGGAGCUUGCCCUAUAAAAAGGAAAGAGGAAAAAGAAAACAGGGGGAUCUUUUUUUUAUUAUUGGAGGAUUUAGAAAGAGGGGAAGAGUGAAAGAAGAUCAAAAAGGAAUAACCUUUGGCAUUGAAGGGAAGAGUGAAAGAAGAUCAAAAAGGAAUAACCUUUGGCAUUGAAGGGCAGACCUGCUGGUAAGUUUUUUUUUCUUUUUCCUCUUUUUAUUCUUAUUCUUGUUUAAUGAUUUUUUUUUUUUCUUCUUCUUGUUUGAUAUACUGCUUUUAAUUAUGAACUAUCGUGUUCAUCAUUUUACCAUCAUUUAACAUGUUAAUUUUAUUAUUUGUAUCUUUCUUAAUACUGAGCAUUCUACCUUCCAUAUUAAAUUUUUUAUUUUUUAUUUUUAAAUAUUGAACAUUCUGUUCUGUGUUAAUUUCUUUUCAAUUGUUGUGUAUCCAUUCUGUGUAUCCAUUCUGUGUAUCCAUUAUGUAUAUCCAUUAUGUGUUAAUUUUUAAAUAUUGAACAUUCUGUUCUGUGUUAAUUUCUUUUUAAUUGUUGGGUAUCCAUUCUGUGUAUCCAUUAUGUGUAUCUAUUAUGUAUACCCAUUCUGUGUUAAUUUUUAUAUAUUGAGCAUUCUGUUAUGUGUUAAUUUUCUUUUAUUACUGGGCAUCUGUGUUAAUUUCUUUUUAAUUAAUUAGCAUCAUAUAUUUGUAUUUGGAUACUCAUUCUUCAUUGACACCCAUUUUACAGUUAAUUACUUAUUACUUAUAUCCAUAUGGCAUCCUUAAUAAUUAUGCAUAAUUAAUCAAUUAGCCUUUUGUAUUUGGUAAUACUCAUUCUUCAUUGGCAUCCAUUUUACAGUUUUUGUUAAUUACUUUAUCCAUGUAUCCAUAUGGGUAGGCAUACCCUGUUAAUAAUUACUGUUAUCCAUAUAUUAUCCAUGUUAAUAAUUAUGCGUGAUAUAAUUAAUAUUUGGCAACAACCAUUUUUCAUUUGGCCUAUUAAUUAAUUAGCAACUUGUAUGUGACAUUUUCACUCCCUCAUUCUAAUUAUUUGCAUGAUGUAUUAAUUAAUCAGUAUGCAUAUGUGGCUAUAAUUAUUUGAUAUUUAUUUGGUGUGAUUAUUUAUUCGCAAUAUUAUUUAUUUGUAUAUUGGGCCAAACCUACUUUAGCAUUCAACUGUUAAUUAUUAUUUGAUAUCCAUUUGGCCUCGUUUAAUUAUGCAUUAAUCAAUUAUUUUGCAUCCUGCAUUAAUCAAUUAUUUUGCAUCAUUUUGAAUUAAUUAAUUAUGUUGCAUAUGUUGUAUUAAUUAAUUAUCUUGCAUCCUACAUUAAUAUCUUUUACAUUUUGCAUAUAUUAUCAAUGUAUUUAUUUUAUCUCAGCAUAUUACACCUAAGUAUUUUUCAAAUUUCAUAAUGUUUUGUCAUUGUUAUUAUUUUUUUUUAUAAUAAUGUAAAUUGGAGAAAAAGUAUUGUUUUUUAUGGAUUUUAUAAUUUAAAAUCCAUAAAUACAUGAAAUUUUUCCGUUUGAAAUUUAAUUAAUAGAUUUUUUUUUUUAAAUUAACACAUUUCAUAUUUUAAAUGAGACUGAGUAGUAUUUUCUAUGAAUUUAUUAAUUCUAGAUAUAUGAAAUUUUUCAUUAAACACCUAUGAUAGAGAUUAAAAUAUCAAGUGUUGGUAUCUUAAUAUUCUUAAGGUGAAUAAAAAUAUUUUAAAACAAAAAUAAACUUAAUUUUUCUAAUGGCUCCUAUGCCACUCAUAAUCAUCAAUUCAUGCUUAGUUUUUACUUUCUUCGAUAUGAAUUGAUAAACAUGGGACAUUUAAACAAAACCUAAAUAAAAUUUUAUUUUGUGAACCUUUAUAAUUUAAUUUAAAAGAUAAAAUUGGGUAACCAUUUUUUUGGGUGUUGUAGGGUGCUAACACCUUCCCUACACAUAACUGACUCCCGAACUUAAAUCUCUGAAUGUACGCAGACCAUUUUUUUUUUUCUUUCUUUUUUUUUGGGUGACCAAUCACACCUUAAUAUGAUUGGUGGCGACUCCAAAAUUUUUUAUUAAAAUAAAAUAAACGGGGAGGUCGGCCGCUCCGCGUAGCGAUCACGUCGCGACAGAAGUCAAAGAAGCUUCUUGAUCAAUUUUGGGGAGAUGCAGUAACUUGUGUUGUUUAUCUCCUAAAUCGAGUUUCAACGAAAAGUGUGCAAGGUAUUACUCCUCAAGAAGCAUGGAGCGGAUUGAAACCAACUGUUCGUCACCUAAGAGUGUUUGGGUGUAUUGCUUACUCUCACAUUUCAGCUGAGAAAAGAGGUAAGCUAGAUGAUAAAUCAGAAAAAUUCAUUUUUGUUGGGUACAGUGAGAACUCUAAGGCCUACAGACUAUACAAUCCGAUAAGUAAGAAAGUUAUUAUUAGUCGAGAUGUCAAGUUCGAUGAAGCAAAAUUGUGGCAAUGGAAUGCACCAAAUGAAGACCAAAAUCCAUUACAUGUUGAUAUGGAUGUGAAAGAAAAUGCUCGAGACUUGGAGCUUGAAGUAACUCAACCACUGACUUCACCUUCUUCAUCACACUCCACAAGUGAUGAAGAAACUACUCCAAGGAAGACCAGAAAUAUUCAAGAGAUCUAUAAUACUUCAAGAAGGAUACUAGAUGAAGAACAUGUUGAUUUUGCUUUAUUUGCAAAUGUUGAUCCUGUAUACUUUGAAGAAGCAAUUCAAGAUGAAAAUUGGAAAGAUGCAAUGAAUCAAGAGAUUGAUGCAAUAAGAAGAAACGAGACAUGGGAGUUAGUAAAAUUACCAGAAAAUAAAAAGGCUCUUGGAGUCAAAUGGAUCUAUAGAACAAAGCUAAAGCAAAACGGAGAAGUGCAAAAAUACAAGGCCAGACUCGUUGUAAAAGGUUACAAACAAAAGUUUGGUGUGGAUUAUGAAGAAGUUUUUGCACCGGUAACUCGCUUGGAGACUGUUCGUUUGUUGUUAGCCCUUGCAGCAAAAAAUGACUGGAAAGUUCAUCAAAUGGAUGUAAAGUCAGCAUUCCUAAAUGGGUAUUUAGAGGACGAAAUAUAUGUUGAGCAACCCCCGGUUAUGCAAAGAUUGGAGAAGAAAAUAAGGUGUGUCGAUUAAAGAAAGCCUUGUAUGGGCUAAAGCAAGCACCAAGGGCUUGGUACAGUCGCAUCGACAAUUUUUUCUUAAAGGAUGGUUUCAGAAGAUGUCCAUAUGAACAUGCUCUCUACACCAAAGAAGAUGAAAAUGGUAAUUUCUUGAUAAUUUGUCUAUAUGUUGAUGAUUUAAUAUUUACGGGCAACUCAAAUAUGAUGAUUGAAGAAUUCAAAGAGAGCAUGAAAAAGGAAUUUGAGAUGACUGAUAUGGGUUUACUUCAUUAUUUUCUUGGUAUUGAAGUUAAACAAGGUGAUAAUGAGAUUGCAAUUUUCCAAAAGAAGUAUGCAAAAGAUUUGUUGAAAAAGUUCAAAAUGGAGAAUGCUUAUCUUGCCAGUACUCCUAUGGAAUUGGGUUUAAAGUUAAGUAAGCAUGAUGUUAGUGAAACUUUUGAUGCCACCAUUUAUAGAAGUUUGGUUGGAAGUUUAAUGUAUUUAACUACAACUAGACCUGAUAUUAUGUUCUCGGUCAGUUUAUUGAGUAGAUUUAUGACAUCACCAAAGAGAAGUCAUUGGGAAGCUGGAAAGAGAGUUCUUAGAUGCAUUCUUGGAACUGUUGAUCAUGGAAUCCACUAUAAAAGGAAUGUAGAUAAUGUUCUUGUUGGCUACAGUGAUAGUGAUUGAGGAGGAAAUAUUGAUGAUUUCAAAAGUACUUCUGGGUAUGUAUUUAAUAUUGGUUCUGGAGCAGUUUCAUGGGCAUCAAAGAAGCAAGAUGUUGUAGCAUUGUCCACAACAGAAGCUGAAUACAUUUAUUUGUCUGUUGCUAGUUGUCAAGCACUUUGGCUAAGAAAUGUACUACAUGAAUUGAAGUGUCCUCAAGAGAAAGGGAUCAUCAUCUUUUGUGACAAUCAAUCGAUCUAUUUCACUUUCGAAGAAUCCCGUUUUUCAUGGAAGAAGCAAACACAUAAACAUCAAAUCUCAUUUCAUCAGAGAAUUGAUCAAAGAUGAAGAAGUUUAUAUCAAGUAUUGCAAGAGUCAAGAUCAAGUUGUAGACGUAUUCACAAAAGCAUUAAAGACAGAUUGAUUCUUGAAAAUGAAAGAGAAGCUCGGAGUUUGGAAAGUCUAGCUUAAGGGGGCAUGCUAGAAAUUAAUAAGCUAGAUACAUUAUGGAUAAUACAUUAAUAGAUACAUUUCUAGUUUCAAGAUAAAUAUGCAUUUCUAGAUACAUGUAAUUAUUCAAGUACAUGAAUGGUAUGUAUACAUGUACUUCAUUUAUUUUGUGUCCUUUAGGAAGUGUCUCUUGAGUACUAUAUAUAGAGAUCAUUUCCUUCAUUUGUAUGCAAGAUAAAAGAAUCAAAUCAAUAUAAGCAAAUUGAGUUUUAGAAAGUAAGUGAGUUUCAAGAGAACAAUAUUAUUCUCUUGUGUGUUAUUGAGUUUUCUAAGAGAACAAGUUUCUUCUCUUAAAAGUUUGUGAGAUUUAGAGUAAAUUUAGAGUGGGCUCGUCAACACCUCCAACACUUUGAUACCAUUCAUAAUUGAUGCACCUACUGUCAAGGUGACCUGUUGUGACAUACAAUCAUAGAUAUUUUACAUAUAGUUUAGACAAUAACUGAGACAAAUAAAAAACCAAGAAGAAAAAAUAAAAGGAAAGUGAUAUGAAAGUUGAUAACCGUUCGCUAAUAUAUCACCUACUUACUUUUGAAGGUUUGUGUGUCCAUAAAAAAUAAUUCGUUAAUAUUAAAAGUUAAUUAUACCAAUUACAACGAAGUAUUUAUAUGUAAUAAGCAUUAUAGUAACUCGCGUAUAGCCUAAAUGAACAGCUAAGUGUCCCCUAGAUGGCAGACUCCCUCUCAAGAUAACUUAGGCUCUCCUAAUUAAUGUACCAAUAUUAGUAUCUUCACCUCAGUUUCCACUUCGUGAAUGUGAGACUCCCUCCCACCAAGAUAUUUUCUUUAUGAUCAAGUUCUCUUUGCUGAAAGAUCUUAGACUCUCCCUAAGAUAGAGAAUCUUUUCUCCUCGUGCUAAAGUAUGAGGCCCCCUAAGACCAAGAAUCUCUUCUUGGUGGCAAGCAACUAAUGAAGAACAUACUACAAAACAAGGUGAGCAAUGAGCAAUAACAUUAAAAACGCAAGGAUGCCUUGCAUGAAGAACGUACUGUAGUUUGCCAAAUAAACAAAUUCAUUUUCAAUAAACAAAUUUGGCAACCCUGAAAGAGUUUUAUAAUUUGCACUAAAAAAAUUGAUCCAUUAAAGAAAAUAACAAAAUAUCAGUUGUCCCAAACUGUAAAAGAUUUCAAAUAAAAAUAAGGUAAUGGCAUGAUUCCAUAAUAAGGAAAAUAUUUGCUGUGAAGUCUUAGAAUGUUAAAACUUUGCAGAAGAGAACAUAGCAACCGUCUGGUCUUCUAAAAUUAUAAUAUGCCAACUAACAAAUAUUAUAAAUAUUCUUCAUCUUCAUUUUCGCUACUUUGCAAUUUUAUCCAGAAUUAACUUUUUUUUACUUGGAUGUGAUAAAACUGUGGUUUUACAAAAGGUAUAAGGAUUAAUUCUUUAUUUUUUUUCAUUAUAUGGUAUUGUCCUUCUUUCUUUUUUCCUUUAUCAAGUAUUGUUCCAAGAUCGUUUAAAUUUAGUACAAAAUCGUUUAGAUCGAUACAAUGAUAAAAGAUCAUUUAUACUAGGUACAUGGUAUAAAAUUGUUUUUGACUAGACCGAAAGGAAUAUCGUGUACCAAGAUUGUUUAGAUUUAAUACAAAAUUGUUUAGAUUUGGUAUAAGACCGUUUAGACGAGGUACAAUAUUGUUUAAACUGAGUACAAUAGUACAUGAUUGUUUAGACGAGGUACAAGGAUACAAUAUCGUUUAGAUUAGGUUCAAGAUCGUUUAGACAGGAUACAAUAUCGUUUUUCGCACGUGUGUUGCUGAUUAAUCUUGAUAUGUUUUUGUUAUUUCACGGUGUGGGCUUUUUCCUUUUCAAAAUUAUUUUAUACUGGAUAAAUAUUUUUGUAUUUUGUUAUAUUUUUUAAUAAGGGGCAUUUUUAAAAAUAACAAAAUAAAUAAAAAUAUUUACAAGUUAUAGCAAAAUUUUAGAUUCUAUCAAUGACAUUUUCUUCUAUCACUAUAAGAUAUCAAUGAUUAUCUGUAAUAAAAUUUGAUAUCGAUUGUAAAUAUUUUGUAAAAUUUACUAUUUUUUAAAAUUUCCGUAUUAAAAAUACCUAUACAGUAUAUGACACUUUUUUUUUUUUUCCUUUUUAUAAUUAUGUAAAGAAAAUAAAUUUUAGAAAAGAUUUAUUUUCAAAUUCAGAAAAAUAUAUCAAUUUAUUUUAAAAAGGUUCAUUUUAUCCAAGUUGUUGACAAACAUUGUUAUCAAAGUUACUUAGGAUUGAUGGUAGAUGUCUAUUACCAUUGUCUGUCUAUAUCAUCGUCUAUAGUUGAAAGAAUACAUAUUUUGCCAUAUUUUUUAAUGGUUCUCUGCUAGAAUAAUAUUCCUUUUCGAAACUACACCUACAAAAUAAGAAAGCAACUGAAAGCAAAACAUAAGGAACAAUAAAAUAACAUAAUUUUUAUCUACAUGAAGCAUCUACCUCUUUUUCUUUUCUUUUCUUUUUUUUUCUUUUUACUUGGAAGUGAUAAAACCAACCCUGUACUCUACCUGCUGGCCAGCACAUUAGAACAACUACGACAAAAAAUUCUAAGAACAAGAAAAAAUAUGUAAUAAAAUAAUAUAGCUCAAGUUGUUUUAAAAUGGGAGCAUAUUAUUGAGAAUUUGUUGUUUGUGGGAGUGUUGUGUAAACCAAUUUUGUGAUCAUGGCUCUGGCUGGGAAGCUUGUGAGUGAAGUAGAAAUAAACACACCUCCCCAUAGAUUUUACAAACUCUUUAAAGAAGAAAUUAAUAGCAUUCCAAAUAUUUCUCCAAACUUAAUACAAAAAAUUCAAAUUCAUGAUGGGGAUUGGAGCAAACAUGGUCAUGGUUCCGUCAAGGUUUGGAAUUACACUAUUG